rnacentral:rRNA from 1 species
GGAGUCUGGGCCGUGUCUCAGUCCCAAUGUGGCCGAUCACUCUCUCAAGUCGGCUACUGAUCGUUGCUUUGGUAGGCCGUUACCCUGCCAACUGGCUAAUCAGACGCGGGUCCAUCUUGUACCACCGGAGUUUUUCACACUGUACCAUGCAGUACUGUGCGCUUAUGCGGUAUUAGCAGUCAUUUCUAACUGUUAUCCCCCUGUACAAGGCAGGUUACCCACGCGUUACUCACCCGUCCGCCACUCAGUCAAUCAAAUCUUCCUCCCGAAGGAUUCUGUCUUGAUUGCUUCGUUCAACUUGCAUGUGUUAGGCACGCCGCCAGCGUUCAUC